GACGGGUGAGUAACACGUGGGAACGUACCUUUCGGUUCGGAAUAAUUCAGGGAAACUUGGACUAAUACCGGAUACGCCCUUCGGGGGAAAGAUUUAUCGCCGAUAGAUCGGCCCGCGUCUGAUUAGCUAGUUGGUGAGGUAAAGGCUCACCAAGGCGACGAUCAGUAGCUGGUCUGAGAGGAUGAUCAGCCACAUUGGGACUGAGACACGGCCCAAACUCCUACGGGAGGCAGCAGUGGGGAAUAUUGGACAAUGGGCGCAAGCCUGAUCCAGCCAUGCCGCGUGAGUGAUGAAGGCCUUAGGGUUGUAAAGCUCUUUUGUCCGGGAAGAUAAUGACUGUACCGGAAGAAUAAGCCCCGGCUAACUUCGUGCCAGCAGCCGCGGUAAUACGAAGGGGGCUAGCGUUGCUCGGAAUCACUGGGCGUAAAGGGCGCGUAGGCGGACUUUUAAGUCGGAGGUGAAAGCCCAGGGCUCAACCCUGGAAUUGCCUUCGAUACUGGGAGUCUUGAGUUCGGAAGAGGUUGGUGGAACUGCGAGUGUAGAGGUGAAAUUCGUAGAUAUUCGCAAGAACACCGGUGGCGAAGGCGGCCAACUGGUCCGAAACUGACGCUGAGGCGCGAAAGCGUGGGGAGCAAACAGGAUUAGAUACCCUGGUAGU
rnacentral:rRNA from 2 species